rnacentral:rRNA from 1 species
UACGGAGGGUGCAAGCGUUGUCCGGAUUUAUUGGGUUUAAAGGGUGCGUAGGCGGCGUAAUAAGUCCGUGGUGAAAGCCAACAGCUCAACUGUUGAACUGCCAUGGAUACUGUUAGGCUUGAGUACAGACGAGGUAGGCGGAAUGGAUCGUGUAGCGGUGAAAUGCAUAGAUACGAUCCAGAACUCCGAUUGCGAAGGCAGCUUACUAGGCUGUAACUGACGCUGAGGCACGAAAGCGUGGGGAGCGAACAGGAUUAGAAACCCUCGUAGUCC